rnacentral:rRNA from 1 species
GAUUCCCUGAGUAGCGGCGAGCGAAACGGGAAGAGCCCAAACCAACAAGCUUGCUUGUUGGGGUUGUAGGACUCCAAUAUGGUAGUCUGUUAGUAUAGUUGAAGGAUUUGGAAAAUUCCGCUAAAGAGGGUGAAAGCCCCGUAGACGAAAUGCUAACAACACCUAGGAGGAUCCUGAGUACGGCGGAACACGAGAAAUUCCGUCGGAAUCCGCGGGGACCAUCCCGCAAGGC